rnacentral:rRNA from 1 species
GAUGAACGCUGGCGGCGUGCCUAAUACAUGCAAGUCGAGCGAACAGACGAGGAGCUUGCUCCUCUGACGUUAGCGGCGGACGGGUGAGUAACACGUGGAUAACCUACCUAUAAGACUGGGAUAACUUCGGGAAACCGGAGCUAAUACCGUAUAAUAUAUUGAACCGCAUGGUUCAAUAGUGAAAGACGGUUUUGCUGUCACUUAUAGAUGGAUCCGCGCCGCAUUAGCUAGUUGUUAAGGUAACGGCUUAUCAAGGCAACGAUGCGUAGCCGACCUGAGGGGGUGAUCGGCCACACUGGAACGUGGACACGGUCCAGACUCCUACGGGAGGCAGCAGUAGGGAAUCUUCCGCAAUGGGCGAAAGCUUGACGGAGCAACGCCGCGUGAGUGAUGAAGGUCUUCGGAUCGUAAAACUCUGUUAUUAGGGAAGAACAAAUGUGUAAGUAACUAUGCACGUCUUGACGGUACCUAAUCAGAAAGCCACGGCUAACUACGUG